UACCAGCACCCCGAGUGGUCGGGACGAUUAUUGGGCCUAAAGCAUCCGUAGCCGGUCCUACAAGUCUUCCGUUAAAUCCACCUGCUUAACAGUUGGGCUGCGGAAGAUACUAUAGGGCUAGGAGGCGGGAGAGGCAAGCGGUACUCAGUGGGUAGGGGUAAAAUCCUCUGAUCCAUUGAAGACCACCAGUGGCGAAGGCGGCUUGCCAGAACGCGCUCGACGGUGAGGGAUGAAAGCUGGGGGAGCAAACCGG
rnacentral:rRNA from 1 species